rnacentral:piRNA from 1 species
UAAGAUGAUUGGAAUUUUGGUUUUUCCGA